GUGCCAGCCGCCGCGGUAAUACCGGCAGCCCGAGUGAUGGCCGAUAUUAUUGGGCCUAAAGCGUCCGUAGCUGGCCGAACAAGUCCGUCGGGAGAUCCACGUGCUUAACACGUGGGCAACCGGCGGAAACUGGCCGGCUUGGAACCGGAAGGCUCAGAGAGUACGUCCGGGGUAGGAGUGAAAUCCCGUAAUCCCGGACAGACUACCGAUGGCGAAAGCACUCUGAGAAGACGGCUUCGACAGUGAGGGACGAAAGCUCGGGUCUCAAACCGGAUUAGAUACCCGAGUAGUCC
rnacentral:rRNA from 1 species